UUUGGGUAGAACUCCGUUUACCAAUGAAAUGCUCUACUAAAACAGAUAUAUAUCCCUCCUCUUUGAAAUAUGCAUGAUUCAGUACCCAAACUGAGUAAAUGCCUCUUGCGUUUAAAACACAGCUCUAGUUUAAGGCAGAUCUAGCCUAAUUUGUACAUCUAGGUGUGACAGAAAAGUCACUUUAUUUCCUCCUGGAUGAAUAAAACAUAAUUCCACAGCUCGUGAAAUCCAGUGAAGUUCUUUCACCCCACAUGCACAAGUGGCAAAAUGCCCUUUGGGGGGCAUAUCACCCCUCUGCUGCUUCUCAUCUGUCCUUUUGCUCCCUUUGCCCAUGUCAGCAGCAACGUAUUUGGCACAGCAGGAACACACACCACGAGGAGCCCAGCAGCGACAUCUCCUCCUGUUUCCUUAGCUCUCCAUGGUGCCCAUGACAUCAUCAGGGAAGGCUGCUGCAUGCAAUUUACACUCUAUGGAAACACAACACAGCCCCAGGACUUCCACCCUUUCCCAUACAUUGCUGCAGUUGCUACAAGUGAACUCAUUGUGUAACUUGGAAAAAGUUACCUCAAUGCCAGAGAAACAUAUUCCUGAGCAAUGUGGAAAACUUCUAAUUUUAAAGCAGUCAACCUCACCCUUCUGUGUUGGAAAAAUACCUGUAAAUGAAAUCUAAUUUGGAGGCAGAAUUGUAUAACAGGGAAAAUGUAAUGAAGUAUUAUCUUAGCAAAGUAGGUUAGGUGAACUUUGAAAAAGGCGGUGUGUCAGUAUUCAUAGGUGUGUGGUCUGGGAUUUCACACCUUUUCUUCAGGUUUCUGUAAAAUAUGGCUGACUACAAACCAGGUUAAGUAAAAAUUGAGUUUGAACGCAUAAAUGAAAAGUAAGAAUACUUAGAAAGAGAAGCUGUGGGGGGGUUUUUAACAGAACUGUUCUGAGGCACAUAGAAGAAAUUCUGGAAUGAGAGUUUCAGGUACCAAACAACCUUGUCUGUUUACAUUAUUUAUGUCAAUCAACCCCUUCUUGCUGCCUUUUCAUUUCUACAUCAUACAAAAUUAUAUCAAUGAAAUACUCCACACCUCAGCCAUUUUCAUACCUGUUUCUUGUUUAAUGACAAACUUGGUUUAUAGAUCAGUCUAAGAACUGAGAGUUUAAUUCUGUUUAAAUAAUCUUCCUCUAGAUUCUUCUUCUUUUAAUUGCCUCUAAAAAAAUAAUCAGCUAUUAAAAUAGCUUCUUUUUAAAUCUCUCCUAGCACAAUAACAAUAAUGAUAGCAUCUCACAU
rnacentral:lncRNA from 1 species